CGUAGGGUGCAGGCGUUAAUCGGAAUUACUGGGCGUAAAGCGUGCGCAGGCGGUCUGCUAAGAGAGAUGUGAAAUCCCCGGGCUUAACCUGGGAACUGUGUUUCUAACUGGCAGGCUUGAGUGUGGCAGAGGGGGGUGGAAUUCCACGUGUAGCAGUGAAAUGCGUAGAGAUGUGGAGGAACACCGAUGGCGAAGGCAGCCCCCUGGGCUAACACUGACGCUCAUGCACGAAAGCGUGGGGAGCAAACAGGAUUAGAUACCCUGGUAGUCCACGCCCUAAACUAUGUCAACUGGUUGUCGGGGAAGCAAUUCCUUGGUAACGAAGCUAACGCGUGAAGUUGACCGCCUGGGGAGUACGGCCGCAAGGUUA
rnacentral:rRNA from 1 species